AUACGAAGGGGGCUAGCGUUGUUCGGAAUCACUGGGCGUAAAGCGCGCGUAGGUGGAUCAAUUAGUUGAGGGUGAAAUCCCGGGGCUCAACCUCGGAACUGCCUUCAAUACUGUUGAUCUUGAGACCGAGAGAGGUGAGUGGAGUUCCUAGUGUAGAGGUGAAAUUCGUAGAUAUUAGGAAGAACACCAGUGGCGAAGGCGGCUCACUGGCUCGGUACUGACGCUGAGGUGCGAAAGCGUGGGGAGCAAACAGGAUUAGAAACCCUAGUAGUCC
rnacentral:rRNA from 1 species